UUCUCUUGAGGAUAAGUUAGAACUGACUAAUUUUAAAUUUUGAAGGGAAGAUCACAUGGUUGUAAAUGAUGAAGAAAACCUUGAAGGGAACUCCUUGGCGGUCCAGUGGUUAGGACUCCACGCUUUCACUGCCCAGGGCCCUGGGUUUGAUCCCUGAUCGGGGAACUAAGAUCCCACAAGCUGUGCGGUGAGGCCAAAAAAAAAAAAAAGACCUUGAAAAAGAAAAGUGAUAAGCGUUUGUCCUAUAAAAAAUUAAACACCAAGAUAUUAGCACAGAAAUAGGAAAAACCAUCACUGGAAUAAUAGGACAAAUCUAUUCUUUUUCUUCAGAUAAAUUCAAGUAAAAUAAUGUUUAAUAAUGCAGAAUGUACAGAAUUACCUCAUUAUACUGGAAGUAUUUCUGUCAAUCUAUUACAUGUACACAUGUAUAUACACAUACAUACACAACAUCUGUAAUGAGGACCAUCUAAUGUUAAAGCUAGUUGUUUCUGAUUAGUUGGUAUAUUGUUUUCCUAAAGCACCACAAACUGAUGGCAUAAAACAACAGAAACUUAUUCACUUGCAGCUCUGGGGUCCAGCAGUCCAAAAUCAAGAUGCGACAAGGUUGGUUCUUUUGGAGGCUUUGAGGGAGGAUCUGUUCCAUGCCCCUGUCGUACCUUCUGGUGGUUGCGGAGUGGAAUCUUCAUAAGGGCAAGAAUUUUCACCUGUUUUGUUCAACGCUGCAUCCCCAAUGCCUCGGACAGAGCUGCUGAGAAAAGCAGAAAAGAAGAUUGUGGAAACCACUGUAGAAACAAAAUUUGAACGUCUCCUUCAUGGACGACUAGAGCAGCUCUCGGGUCUAUGGAACAGUUCCCCUGUCAAUCGUGCAAGCGUGAAUCUGCUGUUGCACUGACCAGUGAACUGUGAAUCCAAAACAGAAGAAAGAAAGUGAGGAGGCCCCUGAGGAAGCCAUGUGGAUGAGUAGCCCUGUAACCUAAGAGUCUACCUCUGGACACAGGUUAAACCGGCAGAAGCAAAGGGUCUCUAUUUUCCUGAAGUGUGACACCUCCUGCAUGGAAACGAGGACAGGAUAAACUGGGGCAUCUGAAGUGACCUCUUCCGGGCAGGAUGUGGAAGUGUGAUGCGUCUCCUUGAGCAAGACCUUCCAAAAUGCUUAAUCUAAGGUGAUAAACGUAUUUCUGACAGAAACCUGUAUUUCAUCUUUGAAUCUCCAAUCGCCUGGCACAGAACUAGACAGACAGUGAUUUCAUCCAUAUCUGUGGCUUCAAUUACUAUUCAAUGACUGACGAAUCCAGAAGCAAUGUCUAGCUAAGACUUACCACCUAAGAUCCCAAUCUGCAGCUGCAGCUGCCCACUAGACCCACAACCUUAUUCUAGGAAACACUGAGACUGGAAUUAGUCCUACUCUUCAGCUUGAAGGAAAUCAUUUUAAUUACAUAGAAAUCGAUUCGUCAACUUUUAUUCAUGCAAUAAUAAAUGGUUAGGCUUCCCUGGUAGCUCCGUGGUUAAGAAUCUGCCUGCCAACGCAGGGGACACGGGUUUGAGCCCUUGUCCGGGAGGAUCCCACAUGCCGCGGAGCAACUAAGCCCGUGUGCCACAACUACUGAGCCUGCGCUCUAUAGCCCGCGAGCCACAGCUACUGAGCCCAUGCGCCACAACUAAUGAAGCCCACGUGCCUAGAGCCUGUGCUCCGCGGCAAGAGAAGCCAAUGCAAUGAGAAGCCCACGCACCUCAACGAAGAGUAGAGCCCGCUCGCCGCAACUAGAGAAAGCCCGUGCGCAUCAACAAAGACCCAGCACAGCCAAAAAUAAAUAAAUAAACUUUAUAAAUGUAUAAAUAAAUGGCCAUCAAUGCCAGUGGAGUCCUGAGAUCCAAGAAUAUGUGCUGUACACGCUUUUCAGUCUCAUGGAAUCCUCCUGACAGCUCUGUGUGGUGGUGUGAUUGUUAUUUUCACUUGACAGCAUUGUGCAGUAACCUGUGUUCAUCUCAUUCAUCUCAUCUCAUCACAACAGGAACCAUAGCCGAUCCAGGAACACUCAGAACCUUCUUGUUGGGACCACCCCACCUCUCCAGACGCCCAGCUGUUCUUCACCUGAGGAAGAGGAGGCACCCUCAUCCCCCCCAGUAGUUUGGUCUCCACCAGAAACACCGAGAGGCUUUGCACGGAGACCAAGUUCAGCCUGAUUCCCCUGUGCUUGGCUUGCUGACCCUUUCAUCACAGCUGCUCAGGCCUUUGGCUGGCCACUUGAAAGAAGAUAGGAUAUUAUAAACAUAACAUGGACGUGUCAUGAAGAUAUUUUACGAGGUACCUGAGGUACCACUUCUAAGCAAGUUUAUCAUGUUUAAGAUCGUGUGUAUUAUUUCAAGAAUGACAUAGCUUUUGCUUCCUGUUUCCUAAAAUGUUUCUGGAACCAGCCACGAGGAGACUUCUUGGUUGUGCCUAUAUGAUCCAUCCAAGUAGUGCCUUUGAGGACGGCCUCUUUUUGCCUAUCCCAGAUCUUUCUCAAUGUCCUCAGUUUCCCGUGAAAAUGAAUGAGCCCGUGACCUUAUUUUACUUGCAAGGAAGUCUCACUGAAACAAACAAGGACUGCUUAUCCAAGUUUUAGAACCAGUCUUCAAGGUGACUGUGUCUUAGUAACUUUAAAGUCACUUCAAGUUAAAAAAAGAAGUUUGAUGGAUGAAGAACUGUAAGGUAGACAAGCUCUCAUUUCAAAUAUCAAAAUAAUUCAAAAUGUCCACACUUUAAUUACUUUUGUCAAACAACAUGUUUUAGAUUCAUGGGAUGGUUAAACGUUAUGAAAAAUUGAAACUAUUUUUAUUUCUGCCGUGAUGAAGUGACAUUGCAUUUCUCAGUAUUCCGCUGUUAGCUGGUUCUUCAAAAUUUAUUGGCAUGAUAUCCCAGUCAGCCCCAACGUCAAUCAAAUUUAUUAAAUAUUUAUUUUCUGCUAAGGAAAAACAACAUGAAAGUGAAAUAUACUAAUAACCAAGUGCAUGACUGAAUACUGAAAGAAGUAUUUCUUAAGUGUGUUCUCCAAAGUGUACCUUUUCAUUUCACUUAGAAACAAUAUUUCUAGAUCUUUGACACAUUUUCGUUUCUCAUAGAUACAAUUUAUGUUAGAAUAGUCCAAAUACAUUUUUAUUUAUUGUGGUUAGGUUUUAAGACCUUCAUUACAUACUUUUGAAUUACAGAAGGAUUUAAGUAUGAAAUUUCAUAGCAUGCUGUCAAAGAAGGGGGAUGCAAUCCUGGUGGGAUAAUAUACUAAAUCACACAUUUUGGCUGUACUGGGUGAAAAAUUCUAUGGAAAGAAGAAUGUCUAAGUUCUUAGGACCAAUGAAGGCUUUAUUUAUCUAAAAUUAUCACCACCAGCACUGACUUUCAGCAAGUCACAGAGCCGGAAUAGGUCAUUCUAGGUAUUUUACCUGUUUUCGGACCAAACUAUUACACUUUGAGUAACACUAACCCAUUACAUUGCCACGUCCAAUGCAAAAUUCACCAGUUGGUGACAAUGACACAAUUCAUUCACCUUCAAUAGAUUUUUGGUUUGUGUUGCCUUUCAAAUAAAGUUUUGUACUAAAUCAUCA